GUACACUCCUGCGGGAGGCAGCAGUGGGGAAUUUUGGACAAUGGGCGAAAGCCUGAUCCAGCAAUGCCGCGUGAGUGAAGAAGGCCUUCGGGUUGUAAAGCUCUUUUGUCAGGGAAGAAACGGUGAAAGCUAAUAUCUUUUGCUAAUGACGGUACCUGAAGAAUAAGCACCGGCUAACUACGUGCCAGCAGCCGCGGUAAUACGUAGGGUGCAAGCGUUAAUCGGAAUUACUGGGCGUAAAGCGUGCGCAGUCGGUUUUGUAAGUCUGAUGUGAAAUCCCCGGGCUCAACCUGGGAAUUGCAUUGGAGACUGCAAGGCUAGAAUCUGGCAGAGGGGGGUAGAAUUCCACGUGUAGCAGUGAAAUGCGUAGAUAUGUGGAGGAACACCGAUGGCGAAGGCAGCCCCCUGGGUCAAGAUUGACGCUCAUGCACGAAAGCGUGGGGAGCAAACAGGAUUAGAUACCCGAGUAGUCC
rnacentral:rRNA from 1 species